AGUAUUAUAGUUUAAUUAAAAUUUUAAAUUGCAAAUUUAAAGAAAGGGUAACCCUUAAUACUU
rnacentral:tRNA from 1 species